rnacentral:rRNA from 1 species
GGGGGAACGGGGCGGGUGGUGCUAAUACAUGCAAGUCGAACGCGUUGGCCCAAUUGAUUGAUGGUGCUUGCACCUGAUUGAUUUUGGUCGCCAACGAGUGGCGGACGGGUGAGUAACACGUAGGUAACCUGCCCAGAAGCGGGGGACAACAUUUGGAAACAGAUGCUAAUACCGCAUAACAGCGUUGUUCGCAUGAACAACGCUUAAAAGAUGGCUUCUCGCUAUCACUUCUGGAUGGACCUGCGGUGCAUUAGCUUGUUGGUGGGGUAAUGGCCUACCAAGGCGAUGAUGCAUAGCCGAGUUGAGAGACUGAUCGGCCACAAUGGGACUGAGACACGGCCCAUACUCCUACGGGAGGCAGCAGUAGGGAAUCUUCCACAAUGGGCGCAAGCCUGAUGGAGCAACACCGCGUGAGUGAAGAAGGGUUUCGGCUCGUAAAGCUCUGUUGUUAAAGAAGAACACGUAUGAGAGUAACUGUUCAUACGUUGACGGUAUUUAACCAGAAAGUCACGGCUAACUACGUGCCAGCAGCCGCGGUAAUACGUAGGUGGCAAGCGUUAUCCGGAUUUAUUGGGCGUAAAGAGAGUGCAGGCGGUUUUCUAAGUCUGAUGUGAAAGCCUUCGGCUUAACCGGAGAAGUGCAUCGGAAACUGGAUAACUUGAGUGCAGAAGAGGGUAGUGGAACUCCAUGUGUAGCGGUGGAAUGCGUAGAUAUAUGGAAGAACACCAGUGGCGAAGGCGGCUACCUGGUCUGCAACUGACGCUGAGACUCGAAAGCAUGGGUAGCGAACAGGAUUAGAUACCCUGGUAGUCCAUGCCGUAAACGAUGAGUGCUAGGUGUUGGAGGGUUUCCGCCCUUCAGUGCCGGAGCUAACGCAUUAAGCACUCCGCCUGGGGAGUACGACCGCAAGGUUGAAACUCAAAGGAAUUGACGGGGGCCCGCACAAGCGGUGGAGCAUGUGGUUUAAUUCGAAGCUACGCGAAGAACCUUACCAGGUCUUGACAUCUUGCGCCAACCCUAGAGAUAGGGCGUUUCCUUCGGGAACGCAAUGACAGGUGGUGCAUGGUCGUCGUCAGCUCGUGUCGUGAGAUGUUGGGUUAAGUCCCGCAACGAGCGCAACCCUUGUUACUAGUUGCCAGCAUUAAGUUGGGCACUCUAGUGAGACUGCCGGUGACAAACCGGAGGAAGGUGGGGACGACGUCAGAUCAUCAUGCCCCUUAUGACCUGGGCUACACACGUGCUACAAUGGACGGUACAACGAGUCGCGAACUCGCGAGGGCAAGCAAAUCUCUUAAAACCGUUCUCAGUUCGGACUGCAGGCUGCAACUCGCCUGCACGAAGUCGGAAUCGCUAGUAAUCGCGGAUCAGCAUGCCGCGGUGAAUACGUUCCCGGGCCUUGUACACACCGCCCGUCACACCAUGAGAGUUUGUAACACCCAAAGUCGGUGGGGUAACCUUUUAGGAGCCAGCCGCGUAAGGUGACAAGAAUGGG